GAUGAACGCUGGCGGCGUGCUUAACACAUGCAAGUCGAGCGAAGCGAUUUUAAGGAAGCCUUCGGGUGGAAUUAAAAUUGACUUAGCGGCGGACGGGUGAGUAACGCGUGGGUAACCUGCCUCAUACAGGGGGAUAACAGUUAGAAAUGACUGCUAAUACCGCAUAAGCGCACAAUGCUGCAUAGCACAGAGUGAAAAACUCCGGUGGUAUGAGAUGGACCCGCGUCUGAUUAGGUAGUUGGUGAGGUAACGGCCCACCAAGCCGACGAUCAGUAGCCGACCUGAGAGGGUGACCGGCCACAUUGGGACUGAGACACGGCCCAAACUCCUACGGGAGGCAGCAGUGGGGAAUAUUGGACAAUGGGGGAAACCCUGAUCCAGCGACGCCGCGUGACUGAAGAAGUAUUUCGGUAUGUAAAGGUCUAUCAGCAGGGAAGAAAAUGACGGUACCUGACUAAGAAGCCCCGGCUAACUACGUGCCAGCAGCCGCGGUAA
rnacentral:rRNA from 1 species